rnacentral:rRNA from 1 species
CGGGGUGAGUAAUGUCUGGGAAACUGCCUGAUGGAGGGGGGUAACUACUGGAAACGGUAGCUAAUACCGCAUAACGUCGCAAGACCAAAGAGGGGGACCUUCGGGCCUCUUGCCAUCGGAUGUGCCCAGAUGGGAUUAGCUAGUAGGUGGUGUAACGGCUCACCUAGGCGACGAUCCCUAGCUGGUCUGAGAGGAUGGCCAGCCACACUGGAACUGAGACACGGUCCAG